GAUCUCCUACCUUUUAUAUCUGCCCUUUCAUAUUAGUUCCUAAUAUUUUAUUUUCUGAAGUGCACUGUCAAUUUCCUAUGUAGGAAUCCCUGGUUGUGCUAAAUCGGCACUCUGUAAUGAAAUAAUGAGUUCUCCUGGAAGGCUUGGUGAAAAGUUUGAUGGGUGAUCUUAUCAAAGCGAGAUACAAGGUGAAGGUUGAUCAAGAGAACCGCUAGAAACUGUACUGACAAAAAUGCUCCCAAUGAAGAAGUUUGGAGAAAGAUUGAGGACAUGUGUCGCAGCACAGGGGCAUCUGGUGUUCCAGUCAUACCCGACUCAGAAAGUCAAUUUUCUUUCAUGGAUUCUUAUCAACAAUUUAGGAACCUUACUGUUCUUGUGAAAACAUUGCUUCUGUUUUAUCUAUUUGAACUUGCUUCA